ACUAAAAGAAGAAUAAGGUGAGUGGAGAAGCUGUCCACGUCGUUUAAUUAAAUCGACCAAUAAAAAACUUCUAUUUUGCCACAUCAGACAAGCCUCACAGUGUGGGCUUCAUCCUAUAAGUUUUGCGUAUGGGCUACAUCGAAUUUUUAAUCUGCUCAAUGAGACCCAAAUCACAAAAUAAACCUGUCGAAGGAUGACGAUUCUCUACGCCUCUACCACUUCGUCUUCUCCAGUUGAAGAGCAAAGAAACUGAAUAGUAAUUGAGCCACUUCUACACAAUCAAUACUUUCGUUUCAAUCAAUCAAUACCUUCUUAAUGAUUUCGUUUCAUCUCUCUGUUUUCCUCCUUCUUUAUAUACUGAUCUUCUUUCCUUCCUCAAAUCUCCAAACAAGCGCAACAGCUGAUGACGAUGAAACUGGAGUUGAGAUUGCCAUGAGGGUGGUUAGAUUCGCCAAGGGCUUGAGCGCUGUGACGAUGUUGAGUUUAGUCCCGAAGGUAUUCUCUUUAGGGAAAAAAUUGCAAGUAGAGAUGAUGAAGCUUUUGCAUCUGUUCAUAACUUCAUCAAAACCAGUGAUGGAUAUUCUACUGAUAACGACAGUUGGAUUUUAUAUCACUCUUGAUGGAGUCAAUCUUCUUGGUCAUGGUGCUCACAAAUAUUUGAACAACGUUGGUUAUUACUUAAAACACUCUUUUUGUUAAUAAAUCUAAUAUACCACUCAACUUUAGUUUAGUUUUUUCUGUAAAGACAAAUGAGGUCUGGUCUACUUAGAGAUCCUGAUAAUUGCCACAAAUAUGGAAUGGGUUAUGUCUCACUCUGCAGGGCCGUAAGUGUUCUUCUCACUUCUUCAAAAAUCACUGUUCUUCUCACUUCUAGAAGACAAUGAUUUGUGACACACUUCUUGAGAAAGACCAGGUUUUGUAGUAUGAAUGAUCUUAAAAACUCAAAUCUUCAAAUUUUGGUUUUUGCAGUUAACCAACGUUUGUGAUCUGUGAUAACUUCAGUUCGACAUGAAAAGAGGGCCAUGAAGAGUCUUCUCUGCUUAUGCCGGAGAAGCCACAAAGUCUUAAGAAAAGAAAACAACUAUGUACUCAUGCUUGGUGUGAUCUGAUUCUAUGGAGAGGAGAAGGAGUAUAACUUUCUUAUACUCCAGGAGAGUCACGGUUUUCAGAUCACAGACCCGUUUCUGCAAUGUUUGCAGUAGAAAUUGAUAUGAAGAGUCUGAAAAAAGAUAGAUUCAGGAAAGGUUAUUCUUGUGCAGCCACUCCACAAAGCAUAGUUUUAACUAAGAUUAUUACAGUUCUUUUUUAGACCAAAAAAAAGUUUUUUUCUUUCUUCAUUGUAUAGCUAUAUGAAUAUUUUUCUUGCAUCAGCCAUCAUGAUAUAUAUAUAUAUAUAUAUUUUUUUUAAUGGUA